GACGAACGCUGGCGGCGUGCCUAAUACAUGCAAGUAGAACGCUGAAGGAGGGGCUUGCUUCUCUGGAUGAGUUGCGAACGGGUGAGUAACGCGUGGUAACCUGCCUGGUAGCGGGGGAUAACUAUUGGAAACGAUAGCUAAUACCGCAUAAUAGUAGAUGUCGCAUGACAUUUGCUUAAAAGGUGCAAUUGCAUCACUACCAGAUGGACCUGCGUUGUAUUAGCUAGUUGGUGAGGUAACGGCUCACCAAGGCAACGAUACAUAGCCGACCUGAGAGGGUGAUCGGCCACACUGGGACUGAGACACGGUCCAGACUCCUACGGGAGGCAGCAGUAGGGAAUCUUCGGCAAUGGACGGAAGUCUGACCGAGCAACGCCGCGUGAGUGAAGAAGGUUUUCGGAUCGUAAAGCUCUGUUGUAAGAGAAGAACGAGUGUGAGAGUGGAAAGUUCACACUGUGACGGUAUCUUACCAGAAAGGGACGGCUAACUACGUG
rnacentral:rRNA from 1 species